rnacentral:lncRNA from 1 species
CGCGGCUAGCGGCGGCGAGUGCUGGAAGGAGACGAGCGCGCAGGCCCCGAGAGGCCAGAAAGGAAAACCAGUUGGAGUCGUUCCAACCAGGAGACCCCUUGCUUUCCUCCUCUUUUAAACUUUCUUAAGGAAAAACAACAAGGUUUCUUUGUUUGGGUCAGCCUUGGUUAUUCAGAGCCUCAGGCAUGGAGGUCUUCAAAUGUGCCUGUGUCCGAUCUGUCCCUCUCUGGAGUCUGGAUCAGCAGCUCACAAGGACAGAGACUGGCAUGGAUAUGUCGACCUACAUGACAGGUAGGUUGACAGAAACUUGAGGGAAGUACUAAGAAAUUAGGCUGGGCUUUUUAAAAGUGUGUGUGUGUGUGUGUGCACGCACACAAGUAGUUUUAGAGGCACUGAGAGCCUGUGGUGAGACACAGGUGGUAGUUUCAAUUUUAAUCAGAAGGCA